GUGUCCUCUGUCAGGUGAAGCUGGUCCAGUCCGGCCCGGGGGCAGCAAAGCCCGGAGAGACCCUCACCCUGAGCUGCGCUGUCUCCGGGGUCUCCAUCACUACUCAGCAUUACUAUUGGAGCUGGAUCCGGCAGUUCCCCGGGAAAGGGCUGGAGUGGAUGGGCCCAGCCGCAGGCCGCUCCCACCGCUCAGAGCCAGCGCCGGGCUUCAGCUUCCCAUCCCGCCUGGGGAACAAGCCGCCAGUGGCAGACAUGACCCCCAGCCUGGCCAUCGCCUUCCUCCUGCUGCUCCCAGCGGGUGUCUAUUCCCAGAUCAGCCUGGUGGAGUCCGGUGGGGGAAUCAAGAACCCCGGGGAGACCCUCAGACUGACCUGCACCGUGUCCGGAUUCUCUCUCACUAGCGACGGGGUGUGCUGGGCCCACCAGGCAGCGGGGAAGGGGCUGGAAUGGAUGGGAGGUAUCUGGGCUGGUGGAGGCAAUAACUAUAACGAUGGUCUAAAAAGUCGCCUCCCCAUCACCAGAGACACUCCCAAAAACCGAGUGUUCCUGCAACUGACCGGCCUGCGACCCGCAGACACCUCCGUGUAUUACUGUGCCGGAGACACACAGUGA